GCCCAGUGAUGAGACCAAGGCGAAUACGAGCUAACUGAAUGAGAGUUGGGUUCUUCUUGCCUUGACUGGCAGGUAAUCUUGGCAGUGCAGAGGAGGAUUCCUGCUCUGCUGUAAGGGCCUGCCUACAGUGACUUGGCUCAACCCAAAUUAUUCCUUUAAAGUUACAGUGGAGUAAUAACAGGAAUGAAGCCAACAGAGUGUGUGUGUGUGUACGCGUGCACAAGUCAAGAAGUUCACCCAGCUCUCUUCUCGCUGUUCAGUCAGCCAUGAGUUGCUUCUUUGGUAAUCUGAGGGCC